rnacentral:lncRNA from 1 species
UACAUCCUUUGAGAAGAGAUAGAAGAUGCUAGCGAGGAGAGAGAGACAUAUUUUGGCGUAAGGAUUAGCAAUGGAUUAGUACGCGGUCACUACAGCGCCAUAUACUUGGUUGAAAGUGAAUCCAGUGACCAGUUUUGAUUGAGCUGUCACUCGGGAAGGAGUGUUCCGUUUGAUCUACUUAUUUUGAAAAAGUGCUUGACAAUCGGUAGCUACUGAAAGACCUAUAUCAGUGGAAAUUUCGUGGAUUCCGUAACUCGGAGAUUUUUCCAUAUGCACUGAUUCGUACUUGACAGAGGUCGAAGAUGCCUAGUUCUUCCCGAUACGGUUCAACUUUCAACUACUAUACCUACGUUGUGCUGAAGAAUUCGUAAACAAGUGCGGGAUAGUGGUCCUCGCGUUCAAACACUAUAAUACGUCUAUCCAUAGGAUUUGGGAAUUUAUCAAAGGCUUUCAAUCAGUCAUCACGGUGCCUAGUUCAUCGCAGUGCGUAUUCAACUUCCAACCACGAAGGGCAUGAGUUACGUGGCAUCGCACAAUUCGUUUACAGGUACUCCGAGAUGCUGUCGCCGCAGUUAUGACCCCCUGG